rnacentral:rRNA from 1 species
UACGGAGGAUGCAAGCGUUAUCCGGAUUUAUUGGGUUUAAAGGGUGCGUAGGCGGGUUAUCAAGUCAGCGGUAAAAUCGUGGAGCUCAACUCCAUCCAGCCGUUGAAACUGAUGAUCUUGAGUGGGCGAGAAGUAUGCGGAAUGCGUGGUGUAGCGGUGAAAUGCAUAGAUAUCACGCAGAACUCCGAUUGCGAAGGCAGCAUACCGGCGCCCGACUGACGCUGAAGCACGAAAGCGUGGGUAUCGAACAGG